AGAUGUUGGGUUAAGUCCCGCAACGAGCGCAACCCUCGUCCUAUGUUGCCAGCGGGUCAUGCCGGGGACUUCGAUGGGAGACUGCCGGGGUCAACUCGGAGGAAGUGGGAUGACGUCAAUCAUCAUGCCCUUAUGUCUUGGGCUUCACGCAUGCUACAAUGGCCGGUACAAAGGGCUGCGAUACCGCGAGGUGGAGCGAAUCCCAGAAAGCCGGUCUCAGUUCGGAUUGGGUCUGCAACUCGACCCCAUGAAGUCGGAGUCGCUAGUAAUCGCAGAUCAGCAACGCUGCGGUGAAUACGUUCCCGGGCCUU
rnacentral:rRNA from 1 species